UACGGAGGGGACUAGCGUUGUUCGGAAUUACUGGGCGUAAAGCGCACGUAGGCGGUCCGAUAAGUCCGCUCUGAAAGCCCGGGGCUCAACCCCGGGAGGCGGGCGGAUACUGUCGGGCUAGAGUCCGGAAGAGGCAAGUGGAAUUCCGUGGUGUAGCGGUGAAAUGCGCAGAUAUCAGGAGGAACACCGAUGGCGAAGGCAGCUUGCUGGGACGGUACUGACGCUGAGACGCGAAAGCGUGGGGAGCAAACAGG
rnacentral:rRNA from 1 species